AAUGAACGCUGGCGGCAUGCCUUACACAUGCAAGUCGAACGGCAGCAUGACCUAGCUUGCUAGGUUGAUGGCGAGUGGCGAACGGGUGAGUAAUGCAUCGGAACGUGCCUUUUAGUGGGGGAUAACGUAGCGAAAGUUACGCUAAUACCGCAUAUUCUCUGAGGAGGAAAGCAGGGGACCUUCGGGCCUUGCGCUAGAAGAGCGGCCGAUGUCGGAUUAGCUAGUUGGUGAGGUAAAGGCUCACCAAGGCAACGAUCCGUAGCGGGUCUGAGAGGAUGAGCCGCCACACUGGGACUGAGACACGGCCCAGACUCCUACGGGAGGCAGCAGUGGGGAAUUUUGGACAAUGGGCGCAAGCCUGAUCCAGCCAUGCCGCGUGAGUGAAGAAGGCCUUCGGGUUGUAAAGCUCUUUCGGCUGGGAAGAAAUCGCACCCUCUAAUACAGGGUGUGGAUGACGGUACCAGCAUAAGAAGCACCGGCUAACUACGUG
rnacentral:rRNA from 1 species